CUUCUCCAUCUUCAUCGUGUUGUUCGGAUUUCCUCUCCGCUGAAGAAGGCUCACAUCUCUUUCUUGCUUGCGGAUCAUUCUCCAUCAAGUCAUAUUCUCUCCAUUGAUAGCCUCACACAAUAGGCUUGGAGGAAAUGGAUCUCAAAAUUCCUUCUCUACUUCUUCGGCUGGAAUGAUUCAAGCAAGAGGAGAUGAUCAAAGAGAAAAUUUGAGCAUUUCAGAGCAAGAGAAGUUAAUACAAGGCUUAAAGAGAAAAGAAAAAUAAAUAAAGAUACAUUAUAUUUUGGAAGUGGGGUUGUUUGUUGGCAUAGUAGAUUGUAUAUGUAUAUGUAUAACAGUAGAUUGUAGGCCUGUAGCAUUGUAUUAUAAGGUGUGUAAUCUUUAGGAAAGUAGGAAGUAUGAAAUGUAAAUUUGAUGUUACUUUAAUGACUUUUAAAAAUGAA